GUAGAUAGGCUGGGAGUGGAAGUCCUGUGAAGGAUGGAGCGGACCAGUACUAAUCAGUCGAAGACUUGACCA
rnacentral:rRNA from 1 species